rnacentral:rRNA from 1 species
UACAGAGGGGGCAAGCGUUGUUCGGAAUUACUGGGCGUAAAGGGCGCGUAGGCGGCCUUCUAAGUCGAACGUGAAAUCCCCGGGCUCAACCCGGGAACUGCGUCCGAUACUGGCAGGCUUGAAUCCGGGAGAGGGAUGCGGAAUUCCUGGUGUAGCGGUGAAAUGCGUAGAUAUCAGGAGGAACACCCGAGGCGAAGGCGGCUCUCUGGGUCGUACCUGACGCUGAGGCGCGAAAGCGGGGGGAGCGAACGGG